UCCAGACUCCUACGGGAGGCAGCAGUGAGGAAUAUUGGUCAAUGGCCGGGAGGCUGAACCAGCCAAGUCGCGUGAGGGAGGACGGUCCUACGGGUUGUAAACCUCUUUUGUCAGGGAGCAAGGUGCAGGACGUGACCUGGUGUGAGAGUACCUGAAGAAAAGGCAUCGGCUAACUCCGUGCCAGCAGCCGCGGUAAUACGGAGGAUGCGAGCGUUAUCCGGAUUUAUUGGGUUUAAAGGGUGCGUAGGCGGCGACACAAGUCAGCGGUAAAAUCGCGGGGCUCAACCCCGCACCGCCGUUGAAACUGUGACCCUUGAGUGCGCGAAGGGUAGGCGGAAUGCGUGGUGUAGCGGUGAAAUGCAUAGAUAUCGCGCAGAACUCCGAUUGCGGAGGCAGCAUGCCGGCUCCACACUGACGCUGAGGCACGAAAGCGUGGGUAUCGAACAGGAUUAGAUACCCCAGUAUAU
rnacentral:rRNA from 1 species